AAACACUGGAAAAAAAAUUUUUUAUUUUAUUAUUUUGAACUUUCUUUGAUUGGUAAAUUUAUGAAAUUUUGAAAAAUGCACAGCGCCGUUCCUCCCGGAGAUGACCAAUCUAACUCGGUAUUUCUCUUUGAAGCUCGAGCGGAGAUAAACGAAAUGAGAGCGCAGUAAUGGUAACGGAGUUCCGUAGGUUUCGAAAUGAGCGUUCAUUAUACCGAGGGCGCGUGGGUUUUCUCAAGUCGAUUAAUACAACAAAGAUGAACGUCCUGUCGGUUUGUUGUCAAUUGAUACCUUCUUGCGAUAAAUAUACACAUUGUUAUAAUUGAUUAUCUUAUUGUCCCGGCCAUUUCUAAUGCUCCUAAUAUCGCGUCUUAUCUCCUCGAUCAGGUGCAGUUCAGGAGAACUGUGGUAUUGAGCUUUCUCAAUUCGUGUUUUCGUGGUUUAUGACAACACACACGGUAGAAUUCGAUAUUAUGCUGAUGCUGGUCGUGCAUUAACCUGAUAUGAUUAUUCUUCACUGAGUGGUACACGAUUUGUCGUGUGUCCCAAUGGAAAUUGAGAAUUCUUGGAGAAGAAGGAUGCAAAGAGUUUUCAAGGCUCCGGCAGCCACACCGAGAGAUCUGAGAUGUUAACGUGUGGGCGCUGGAUGUCCAUCCACUCCAAGACCAGUCCCUUCGUAUAUAUUCAUUUCUCACCGCUCUCAAACGCGCGAGAAUAACGACAAGAAAACGGCGAAAUAACAGAUGAAGAGAAACAGAAGUUACACACCUAGUCGCCUGGUGUCUUUGUAAAAUCCAUGGUGAUGGUACUUCUCCGUUGUGUAUUCCGCAACUUUCCAUAUCGAGGUACAUUUGAGCUCUCUGUACACCAUCAUACGAGUUGGAUUUUUUUUUCAAUUCUUUCCACCCGACGGUGGGAUUAAACCAGAAGCGCCUACACACGCAUUCGGUUUCGACUGGUUAGGCAGAAAUGUUUCACCCUGCCCACGCACACUCGUUGCGCUUCGUGCAUAUUAUUUCUCAUUUUUUUGUUAUUAUUCUCAUACAGUUAUGAAUGUUCCAUGCUUUUGAAUUGAAUGGAAUCAUCACUUUGGAAUUAUUUCUUUCGUUCAUUAAUUUUUUUUCACUGAUCGGUCUGAAAAACACGUAACCUGGGACGAAUAAACAAUUAAAUGAUUUGACGAUGGGAAAAAUAUAUUGUAAUUGCAAUAAAGAAUUGGAUGAUUUCAUAAAUAGUUGGGAAUAGUUCUAUUUUUUGU